rnacentral:rRNA from 1 species
AUGUUGCAGGGGGAUGUGGGUAUUGAUGAAGAUGUGAACCAUCGAAUCAAAGCCGGAUGGAUGAAGUGGCGCCAAGCUUCUGGCAUUCUCUGUGACAAGAGAGUGCCACAAAAGCUAAAAGGCAAGUUCUACAGGACGGCGGUUCAACCCGCAAUGUUGUAUGGCGCUGAGUGUUGGCCGACUAAAAGGCGAGAUGUUCAACAGUUAGGUGUGGCGGAGAUGCGUAUGUUGAGAUGGAUGUGUGGCCACACGAGGAAGGAUCGAGUCCGGAAUGAUGAUAUACGAGAUAGAGUUGGGGUAGCACCAAUUGAAGAGAAGCUCUUCCAACAUCGUCUGAGAUGGUUUGGGCAUAUUCAGCGCAGGCCUCCAGAAGCUCCAGUGCAUAGCGGACGGCUAAAGCGUGCGGAGAAUGUCAAGAGA